rnacentral:tRNA from 1 species
GCAUUCAUGGCCGAGCGGAUUAGGCACUCAACUCAUAAUUGAUUCUAGGUAGGUUCAACUCCUACUGGAUGCA